rnacentral:misc_RNA from 1 species
GAUGAAGAACGUAGCGAAAUGCGAUACUUGGUGUGAAUUGCAGAAUCCCGCGAAUCAUCGAGUUUUUGAACGCAAGUUGCGCCCGAAGCCAUUCGGCCGAGGGCACGUCUGCCUGGGUGUCACGCAUCGUGGCCCCUCCAAACUCCGGUUCGGGCGGGGCGGAAGUUGGCCUCCCGUGCGUGCCUGCGCGCGCGGUUAGCCCAAAAGCGAGUCCUCGGCGACGAGCGCCACGACAAUCGGUGGUUUUUUUACCCUCGUUCCUCGUCGUGCGUGCCCCGUCGCCCGAACGCGCUCUUGCGACCCUUACGCGUCGCCUCGGCGGCGCUCCCAACGCGACCCCAGGUCAGGCGGGACUACCCGCUGAGUUUAAGCAUAUCAAUAAGCGGAGGA